rnacentral:rRNA from 1 species
UCUAAGUACCCCGAGGAAAAGAAAUCAACCGAGAUUCCCCCAGUAGCGGCGAGCGAACGGGGAGGAGCCCAGAGCCUGAAUCAGCAUGUGUGUUAGUGGAAGCGUCUGGAAAGGCGCGCGAUACAGGGUGACAGCCCCGUACACAAAAGCGCAUGUGCUGUGAGCUCGAUGAGUAGGGCGGGACACGUGGUAUCCUGUCUGAAUAUGGGGGGACCAUCCUCCAAGGCUAAAUACUCCUGACUGACCGAUAGUGAACCAGUACCGUGAGGGAAAGGCGAAAAGAACCCCGGCGAGGGGAGUGAAAAAGAACCUGAAACCGUGUACGUACAAGCAGUGGGAGCACCCUUUGGGGUGUGACUGCGUACCUUUUGUAUAAUGGGUCAGCGACUUAUAUUCUGUAGCAAGGUUAACCGAAUAGGGGAGCCGGAGGGAAACCGAGUCUUAAUUGGGCGUUAAGUUGCAGGGUAUAGACCCGAAACCCGGUGAUCUAGCCAUGGGCAGGUUGAAGGUUGGGUAACACUAACUGGAGGACCGAACCGACUAAUGUUGAAAAAUUAGCGGAUGACCUGUGGCUGGGGGUGAAAGGCCAAUCAAACCGGGAGAUAGCUGGUUCUCCCCGAAAGCUAUUUAGGUAGCGCCUCGUGAAUUCAUCUCCGGGGGUAGAGCACUGUUUCGGCUAGGGGGCCAUCCCGGCUUACCAACCCGAUGCAAACUGCGAAUACCGGAGAAUGUUAUCACGGGAGACACACGGCGGGUGCUAACGUCCGUCGUGAAGAGGGAAACAACCCAGACCGCCAGCUAAGGUCCCAAAGUCAUGGUUAAGUGGGAAACGAUGUGGGAAGGCCCAGACAGCCAGGAUGUUGGCUUAGAAGCAGCCAUCAUUUAAAGAAAGCGUAAUAGCUCACUGGUCGAGUCGGCCUGCGCGGAAGAUGUAACGGGGCUAAACCAUG